AUUUAUUACCGACGCAAAUUUUGCUGCGGGCAGCUGCUUGGGUACUACGAGCGUGUGCUUAAAACUCAAAGAACUUGGCGGCUAGUUAACUACCUAGGGGAAUAUGCGCCUUAAUCCGAUGGUCCCCGUAGCAUCUUACUGUGCCUCGAAGAAGAGCAGCUGGUGUAUUGCCGUUGUCAGCUUGUAGUACGAGCGAAGAGUAACAGGCUCAAUGGAACUUCUAACAAGUUUAGCAAGGAUCCCUGAAUUCAGGUCGAAAUGCUGCCAAUGGCUCAAGGGAGUGGGUGUUACAAUUUUAGAUUUAAAAUACGGAUCUUUGGAUGAAGUGCCAAGGUGAAGGUGAACUUAGGAGUAAGGGAGGAUUAAUAUGCCCCCCUGAACGUGAUUCUAACUUUCGUACAAACUGCCCGUCGCUCUCGCCGAGAGGGGAGAU
rnacentral:rRNA from 1 species